CUGACAGCCUGCCGCGUGUGUGAAGAAGGCCUUCGGGUUGUAAAGCGCUUUUGUACGGGAAAGAAAAGCUUUCGGUUAAUACCCGGAAGUCCUGACGGUACCGUAAGAAUAAGCACCGGCUAACUUCGUGCCAGCAGCCGCGGUAAUACGAAGGGUGCAAGCGUUACUCGGAAUUACUGGGCGUAAAGCGUGCGUAGGUGGUUUGUUAAGUCUGAUGUGAAAGCCCUGGGCUCAACCUGGGAAUGGCAUUGGAUACUGGCAGUCUAGAGUGCGGUAGAGGGUAAUGGAAUUCCCGGUGUAGCAGUGAAAUGCGUAGAUAUCGGGAGGAACAUCCGUGGCGAAGGCGGCUACCUGGACCAGCACUGACACUGAGGCACGAAAGCGUGGGGAGCAAACAGGAUUAGAUACCCUGGUAGUCCACGCCCUAAACGAUGCGAACUGGAUGUUGGGGACACUUAGGUCUUCAGUAUCGAAGCUAACGCGUUAAGUUCGCCGCCUGGGAAGUACGGUCGCAAGACUGAAACUCAGG
rnacentral:rRNA from 1 species